rnacentral:rRNA from 1 species
UGAAUACGAGAUGCUACGGCGUCGAAGCAGUCUAUGUCAUACUUCCAAGAAAAGCUCGCACUGUCAUAAACAAAUAAUGCCUGUACCAUAACCGACACAGGUGGGUAGGUAGAGUAUACUAAGGGGCGCGAGAUAACUCUCUCUAAGGAACUCGGCAAAAUGACUCCGUAACUUCGGGAGAAGGAGUGCCUUAUUUAUAAGGUUGCAAUAACAAGAUCCAAGCAACUGUUUAUCAAAAACACAGGUCUCCGCUAAGUCGUAAGACGAUGUAUGGGGGCUGACGCCUGCCCAGUGCCAGAAGGUUAAAGAAGUUGGUUAGCAUUCGCGAAGCUGAUAACUGAAGCCCUGGUGAACGGCGGCCGUAACUAUAACGGUCCUAAGGUAGCGAAAUUCCUUGUCGGGUAAGUUCCGACCCGCACGAAAGGCGUAAUGAUUUGGAUACUGUCUCGGAGAGGGGCUCGGUGAAAUAGACUUGUCUGUGAAGAUGCGGACUACCUGCACCAGGACAGAAAGACCCUAUGAAGCUUUACUGUAACUUGAGAUUGAAAUUGGACUUUACUUGCGCAGUAUAGGUGGGAGGCGUUGAUAAUAUUCUUGCGGGAUUAUUUGAGCCAUCAGUGAGAUACCACUCUUGUAAUGUUAGAUUUCUAACUUUGUAUCAUUAUCUGGUCAAAGGACAGUUUCAGGCGGGCAGUUUGACUGGGGCGGUCGCCUCCUAAACGGUAACGGAGGCGCACAAAGGUUUCCUCUGAACGGGUAGAAAUCGUAUCUAGAGUGUAAAGGCAUAAGGAAGCUUGACUGUGAGACCUACAAGUCGAGCAGGGACGAAAGUCGGUCUUAGUGAUCUGACGGUGCUGAGUGGAAAGGCCGUCACUCAACGGAUAAAAGUUACUCUAGGAUAACAGGCUGAUCUCCCCCAAGAGUUCACAUCGACGGGGAGGUUUGGCACCUCGAUGUCGGCUCAUCGCAUCCUGGGGCGGUAGUACGUCCCAAGGGUUGGGCUGUUCGCCCAUGAAAGCGGUACGCGGGCUGGGUUCAGAACGUCGUGAGACAGUUCGGUCCAUAUCCGGUGUAGGCGUUAGAAUAUUGAGAGGAGCCUUCUUUAGUACGAGAGGACCGAGAAGGACAUACCUCUGGUGUACCAGUUAUCGUGCCAACGGUAAACGCUGGGUAGCUAUGUAUGGAGUGGAUAACCGCUGAAAGCAUCUAAGUGGGAAGCCCACCUCAAGAUAAGUAUUCUCAU